rnacentral:misc_RNA from 1 species
GCUGUAGGUGAACCUGCAGUGGAUCAUUUUCCGAUGAGAUUAUGUAUCAAUAUACACAUGUAUAUAUUUUAUAUAUAUGUGUGUGUACCGCGGGGAGGAAAUGUGAAUUUUCUCCUUCGCACAGAUAAAUAUAUAUGUGUUUUUGCUUUUGCACCACACCUAGACAUACAUAGGUGUGAUGUAAAAGAAAAAAAAAAACACAAACAAAAAAACUCAUGCCGCUUGACUCUCUCCACACACAUCUAUAUGUAUGUGUAAAUGUGUGUGUGUGAUUGUUGAGAACGGCCCCAACAACGUGUCGCGAUGGAUGACUUGGCUUCCUAUUUCGUUGAAGAACGCAGCAAAGUGCGAUAAGUGGUAUCAAUUGCAGAAUCAUUCAAUUACCGAAUCUUUGAACGCAAACGGCGCAUGGGAGAAGCUCCCCGGAGUCAUCCCCGUGCAUGCCAUAUUUCUCAGUGUCGAACAACAAAAAACCACCAUACAAACAUGUUAUUGUGUAUGUGUGUGUGGGAAUUUUUAACAGAGAGCCCUUGGGGAUACGGAUGAAACACGCUUUCCUCGGCGCGCGUCGCGUGCAGAGGAGGAGAGGGGGUCUGCACUUUUUUGUGUAGUCUUUUUUGUGUAUGAUCCGCUCCGGCGCUUGUGUGUGUGUGCGUGUGUUUUCUUUCCUCUCUCACUUUUUGCUCGUGUGUAUGUGUAUACAUAUAUAAUAUGAGUUAUAAUUUGGGAAAAGGGGGAGACAUACCACAUGCAUGUCUGUACAACAACAACCAAAAACACCAACGAGAGAAAAAGACAAAAAGGAUUCUUUUCUUUUUUCUUUUCCUGUGCGCCAUGUGUGUAUGGUAUAUAUAAAAAUUAUACUGUGGGUGUGUGUGCAAAUGCACACCUGCAACCUUUGUUCACAGACCUGAGUGUUUGGCAGGACUACCCGC